UAGUUUCAUUUGUCAACUUGACACACCUGGGAAGAAGGAAACUCAGUUGAGGCAUUGCUUCCGUGGGAUUGGACUGUGGCCAGGUUGUCCCUUCACUUGAUUGAUGGUAUCAUUUGCUAUACAGAAGCUUUUUAUCUUCAUGACGUCCCAUUGUCAAUUGUCCUUGAUGGAUGUGCUAUCCGAGCCCUGUUCAAAAAGUAGUUUCCUGUUCCUGUAAGUUCCAUUGUAUUCACUACUUUCUCCUCCAUCCAAUUCAGGGUAUCAGGUUUUAUGCUGAGGUUCUGGAUUCAUUUGAAGUUGAGUUUUGUGCAGGGUGAGAGAUAGGGACCUAGUUUCACUUUCCUACAUAUAGCUAUCCAGUUUGACCAGCGCACCAUUUGUUGAACAUGCUGUCUUUUCUACAAUGUGUAUUUUGGACCCCUUUGUCGAAAAUCAGAUGACUGUAAGUGCAUGGACUUAAAUCUGGGCUGUCUAUUUCUUUAUAUUCAUCAGUGUCUCUGUUUUUAUGCUGGUGUCAUGGCUGUUUUUAUUAUUUUAGCUCUGCAGUAUAAUUUGAGAUCGAGGAUGGUGAUACCUCCAUCUCUUCUUUUCUUUUUCAGAAUUGUUUUGGUUAUCCUGGUUUGUUUCUUUCUUUGUUUCCAUGUGAAAUUCAAAUUCAAUUCACUUUCAAUUUUUGUGAAGUAUUGUGUUGGGGUUUUAGUGAGGAUUGUAUUAAAUCUGUAGAUUGCUUUUGGUAGGAUGGCCAUUUUCACAAUAUUCAUUCUACCGAUCUAUGAGAGUGGGCGGGGGGGGUGUCUUUCCAUCUUCUGAUAUCUUCUUCAGUUUCUUUCUUCAGUGUCUUAAGGUUUUUGUUAUACAAGUCUCUCACUGAUUUGAUUAGAAUUAUUAAAAAUAUUUUGUGUUUUUUUGAGGCUAUCCUAUCGUGAAUGGGAUCAGUUCCUUGCUUUCUUUCUCAGUAUGUUUGUUGUUGGUCUAUAGGAAGACUACUGAUUUUGGUGUAUUAGUUUUAUAACCCGUUUCUAUGCUGAGCAUGUUUGUCAGCUCUAGGACUUUUCUGGUGGAGUCUUUAGUGUUUUGUUUUGUUUUGUUUUUUUAAAAUCAUAUCAUCUGCAAAUAAGAAUUCUUUGACUUUUUCCAUUCUGAUUGGUUUCCCCUUUAUUUCCUUCACUUGUCUUACUGCUCUAGCUAAAACUUCAAAAACUAUAUUGAACAGGAGUAGAGAGAGUGAACAUACUUACUUGUCUGUUUCC